rnacentral:rRNA from 1 species
GAGUUUGAUCCUGGCUCAGAUUGAACGCUGGCGGCAGGCCUAACACAUGCAAGUCGGGCGGUAGAGAGAAGCUUGCUUCUCUUGAGAGCGGGCGGACGGGUGAGUAAUGCCUAGGAAUCUGCCUGGUAGUGGGGGGAUAACGCUCGGAAACGGACGCUAAUACCGCAUACGUCCUACGGGAGAAAGCAGGGGACCUUCGGGCCUUGCGCUAUCAGAUGAGCCUAGGUCGGAUUAGCUAGUUGGUGAGGUAAUGGCUCACCAAGGCGACGAUCCGUAACUGGUCUGAGAGGAUGAUCAGUCACACUGGAACUGAGACACGGUCCAGACUCCUACGGGAGGCAGCAGUGGGGAAUAUUGGACAAUGGGCGAAAGCCUGAUCCAGCCAUGCCGCGUGUGUGAAGAAGGUCUUCGGAUUGUAAAGCACUUUAAGUUAGGGAGGAA